rnacentral:tRNA from 1 species
UCUAAUAUGGCAGAAUAGUGCAAUGAAUUUAAGCUUCAUAAAUAAAGAAAUNUACUUUUAUUAGAA